rnacentral:rRNA from 1 species
GAUGAACGCUGGCGGCGUGCCUAAUACAUGCAAGUCGAACGGACGGACCAGAAUCUGGCUUCUCUGGUGUUAGCGGCGGACGGGUGAGUAACACGUGAAUAACCCAUCUAUAUGACUGGGAUAACUUCGAGAAACCGUAGCUACUGCCAGAUAAUAUUUUGGACCGCAUGGGUCAAGAGUGAAACACGGUCUUGCGGUCGAUUAUAGAUGUAUCCGCGCUGCAGUGGCUAGUUGGUAAGGUAACGGCUUACCAAGGCAACGAUGCAUAGCCGACCUGAGCGGGUGAUGGGCGACAGUGGAACUGAGACACGGUCCAGACUCCUACGGGAGGCAGAAGUAGGGAAUCGUCGGAAAUGGGGGAAAGCCUGACGGAGCAGUGGCGGGUGAGUGAUGAAAGGCCUUGGGUCGGAAAACGGUGUUAUUGUGGAAGAACACAUGUGCACGUAACUGUGCACAGCGUGACGGUACCUAAUCAGAAAGCAACGGCUAACUACGUG